UACGUAGGGGGCAAGCGUUGUCCGGAAUCAUUGGGCGUAAAGCGAGCGCAGGCGGCUCGGUAAGUCUGGUGUUAAAUCUCACGGCUCAACCGUGGGGCGUCACUGGAUACUGCCGGGCUUGAGUCUGGGAGAGGGUAGUGGAAUUCCUGGUGUAGCGGUGGAAUGCGCAGAUAUCAGGAGGAACACCUAUAGCGAAGGCAGCUACCGGGAACAUGACUGACGCUGAGGCUCGAAAGCGUGGGGAGCGAACAGG
rnacentral:rRNA from 1 species